rnacentral:rRNA from 1 species
AGCGUAGGCGGAUUUUUAACGUGAGAUGUGAAAUACCCGGGCUUAACUUGGGUGCUGCAUUUCAAACUGGAAGUCUAGAGUGCAGGAGAGGAGAAGGGAAUUCCUAGUGUAGCGGUGAAAUGCGUAGAGAUUAGGAAGAACACCAGUGGCGAAGGCGCUUCUCUGGACUGUAACUGACGCUGAGGCUCGAAAGCGUGGGGGAGCAAACA